rnacentral:rRNA from 1 species
GACGAACGCUGGCGGCGUGCUUAACACAUGCAAGUCGAACGGAAAGGCCCUGCUUUUGUGGGGUGCUCGAGUGGCGAACGGGUGAGUAACACGUGAGUAACCUGCCCUUGACUUUGGGAUAACUUCAGGAAACUGGGGCUAAUACCGGAUAGGAGCUCCUGCUGCAUGGUGGGGGUUGGAAAGUUUCGGCGGUUGGGGAUGGACUCGCGGCUUAUCAGCUUGUUGGUGGGGUAGUGGCUUACCAAGGCUUUGACGGGUAGCCGGCCUGAGAGGGUGACCGGCCACAAUGGGACUGAGAUACGGCCCAGACUCCUACGGGAGGCAGCAGUGGGGAAUAUUGCACAAUGGGCGGAAGCCUGAUGCAGCAGCGCCGGGUGCGGGAUGACGGCCUUCGGGUGGUAAACCGCUUUCGCCUGUGACGAAGCGGGAGUGACGGUAAUGGGUAAAGAAGCACCGGCUAACUACGUG